GAUGAACGCUGGCGGCGUGCCUAAUACAUGCAAGUCGAGCGAACGGACGAGGAGCUUGCUUUUCUGAUGUUAGCGGCGGACGGGUGAGUAACACGUGGAUAACCUACCUAUAAGACUGGGAAAACUUCGGGAAACCGGCGAUAAUACCGGAUAAUAUUUUGAACCGCAUGGUUCAAAAGUGAAAGACGGUCUUGCUGUCACUUAUAGAUGGAUCCGCGCUGCAUUAGCUAGUUGGUAAGGUAACGGCUUACCAAGGCAACGCUGCAUAGCCGACCUGGGAGGAUGAUAGGCCACACGGGAGCUGAGACACGGUCCAGACUCCUACGGGAGGCAGCAGUAGGCAAUCUGCCGCAAUGGGCGAAAACCUUACGGAGCAACGCGACGCGAGAGAUGAAGGUGUUCGGAGCGUAAAACUCUGUUAUUAGGGAAAAACAUAUGUGUAAGGAACUGUGCACAUCUUGACGGUACCUAAUCAGAAAGCCACGGCUAACUACGUG
rnacentral:rRNA from 1 species